rnacentral:rRNA from 1 species
UACAUAGGGGGCGAGCGUUGUCCGGAAUGACUGGGCGUAAAGGGUGUGUAGGCGGUUUGGUAAGUUAGAAGUGUAAUACCCAGGGCUUAACUCGGGUGCUGCUUCUGAUACUGCCGGACUUGAGUGUAGGAGAGGAUGACGGAAUUCCCAGUGUAGCGGUGGAAUGCAUAGAUAUUGGGAGGAACACCGGAGGCGAAAGCGGUCAUCUGGACUACAACUGACGCUGAGGCACGAAAGCGUGGGGAGCAAA